AAGUCGUAACAAGGUUUCCGUAGGUGAACCUGCGGAAGGAUCAUUAUCACGUAAAUCCACGUUAUAAACCCUUCUUUGAAUUGUUUAUAAAAACUAAAUUUCUGACAGCUGUGUGCUGUGCGAGGUUGGGACUUGGAAGUUGUAAGAGUGCGUCUGGUGCUGAGAAUUUGAAAAUCAGCAUCCGCUAAAAUGGGAUCGAAUGGUAACGUGAGAAUCCCAGAGUGCUCUUAUUAGUUCAAGACUAUCUAUCUCGUAGCUCAGAAAUCGUAAUUUCUCACUUUACAUUAUCGUAAAAACGACUGAAACCCCUUUUGAUAAAUUGAACUAACGAUUCUCUACUCUAGCCCUAAAAAAGCCUGAGAUUGAAUAAAAUACGAAACAAAGAACAACUCUUAGCAACGGAUAUCUUGGUUCUC
rnacentral:misc_RNA from 1 species